rnacentral:rRNA from 1 species
AUGAUCCGGUGCUUGCACCGGGGAUUAGUGGCGAACGGGUGAGUAACACGUGAGUAACCUGCCCUUAACUCUGGGAUAAGCCUGGGAAACUGGGUCUAAUACCGGAUAUGACUCCUCAUCGCAUGGUGGGGGGUGGAAAGCUUUAUUGUGGUUUUGGAUGGACUCGCGGCCUAUCAGCUUGUUGGUGAGGUAAUGGCUUACCAAGGCGACGACGGGUAGCCGGCCUGAGAGGGUGACCGGCCACACUGGGACUGAGACACGGCCCAAACUCCUACGGGAGGCAGCAGUGGGGAAUAUUGCACAAUGGGCGCAAGCCUGAUGCAGCGACGCCGCGUGAGGGAUGACGGCCUUCGGGUUGUAAACCUCUUUCAGUAGGGAAGAAGCGAAAGUGACGGUACCUGCAGAAGAAGCGCCGGCUAACUACGUGCCAGCAGCCGCGGUAAUACGUAGGGCGCAAGCGUUAUCCGGAAUUAUUGGGCGUAAAGAGCUCGUAGGCGGUUUGUCGCGUCUGCCGUGAAAGUCCGGGGCUCAACUCCGGAUCUGCGGUGGGUACGGGCAGACUAGAGUGAUGUAGGGGAGACUGGAAUUCCUGGUGUAGCGGUGAAAUGCGCAAAUAUCAGGAGGAACACCGAUGGCGAAGGCAGGUCUCUGGGCAUUAACUGACGCUGAGGAGCGAAAGCAUGGGGAGCGAACAGGAUUAGAUACCCUGGUAGUCCAUGCCGUAAACGUUGGGCACUAGGUGUGGGGGACAUUCCACGUUUUCCGCGCCGUAGCUAACGCAUUAAGUGCCCCGCCUGGGGAGUACGGCCGCAAGGCUAAAACUCAAAGGAAUUGACGGGGGCCCGCACAAGCGGCG